rnacentral:lncRNA from 1 species
GUUUAUUACAGGAUAUUGAGUAUAGUUCCCUGUGCUAUACAGUAGGACUCUGUUGUGUAUCCAUGUUAUAUAUUAUCUCAAACUCCUAAUAUCUCCCUCCCUCAUCCGCUUUCCCCUUUGGUUACUGUAAGUUUGUUUCCUGUCUGUGAAUUUGUUUCCGUUUGGUAAACAGGUUCAUUUGUGUCAUAUUUUAGAUCCUACAAAUAAGUGAUAUCAAUAGUAUUUGUCUUUCUCUUUCUGACUUACUCCACUUAGUAUGAUAAUGUCUAGGUCCACUCAUGUUGCUGCAAAUAUAUUAUGUGAUAUAUACAGAUAUAUUACAUCUUCUCUGUCCAGUCCCCUGUUGGUGGACAUGGAGGUUGCUUCCAUGUCUUGGCUAUUGUAAAUAGUGCUGCAGUGAACAUUGAGAUGCAUGUAUCAUUUCGAAUUAGCAUUUUCUGGAUAUAUGUCCAGGAGUGGGAUUGCUAGAUCCUAUGGCAAUGUUAUUUUUAGUGUUUUAAGGAACCCUCCGUCCUGUUCUCUAUAGUGGCCACACCAAUUUACAUUCCUGCCAGCAGUGUAGAAGGAUUGCCUUUUCUCCCCACCCUCUCCAGCAUUUGUUUGUAGACUUUUUAAUGACGUUAAGGAGAAUUUCUUUGGCCUGACCUCUCCAUCUUUCCCCUCCUCUAUCGCUGCACCUCUCAAGGCACUCAAGGCCCAACUUACCCCAGACUUCCUCCCUCCCGGAAGGGUCUCCUGACCUCUCCAGCCUCAUAGCCUGCUCGCACUGACCUCCAACCAGCCUGCUGCAAAGCUCUAGGCUCACAUUUAGGGCGUUCCUGCCUCCUGUCAGUCACCGAGGCUGGUAAGUGCUCCCACAUGCCCACUCCCUGAAAGACAGACGAGGCAACCCCAUUGAAAGGGAAGACACAGGCUCAGCGAGGUUCCGUAACGUCCCCCAGAUUACCUAGCUGGUUAGUGAAAUAACCGAGACUUAAAUUCAAGACUGACAACCGACCUCAAAACCUUUGCUCUAAACCAGGAGCCAGCAAACUAUACGGGCCUGAAGGCCAAAUUCUGCCACUAUCUGUUUUUCUACAGCUUGAGAGCUAAAAAUGGUUUUCACAUGACCGGGGGCGGGGGGGGGAUCAAAAGAAACAUAAGAUUUUGGCACAUGUGAAAAUCACAGGAAACUAACAUUUCAGUGUCCAUUAAUAACGUUUUAUUGGACAUGGUGGUGUGGUGGUUGUUUUCAUCAUGGCAUGCAGCAGCUUGAUAUGGGAUCUCAGUUCCCAGACCAGGGAUUGAACCCAGGCUGCAGCGGUAAAAGCACUGAGUCCUAACCACUAGACCACCAGGGAACUCCCUUAAUAAAGUUUUCUUGGCGCACACCAACACCCAUUCAUUUAGAUCUCUUUGAUGGCUUUUUCGUGAACUACAGUGGCAGAGCUGAGUCGUAGUGACAGGGACCAGCCUACAAGGGUUCCCAUUUGGCCCUUCACAGAAGACCUUUGCCGACCCCUGCUCCGAAAGGCACCAUUGAUGAGCCACAGCUCCACGGAGUUCUGAACACCCUGCCUGCCUUGACAGGCUGCUGUCUUUCUCUGGGUGCUGAGCCCACUGUAGGAUCUCAGAGGGAAAACAAAAUAGAUUUUAGCCCCCUUUGGACUUCCAGGUACUAAAGAUGUGCACCAGAAGUUCCCGUCGUGGCACAGCGGAAACGACCCCGACUAGGAACCGUGAGGUUGUGGGUUCGAUCCCUGGCCUUGUUCAAAAGGGCUUUGCUGUUCACUUUUUAGAAAUGAUAUGCUAUAGAGGGUUUAGCAAGCAGAGAGUUAUGUUGUCCAUAACUUAUUAUGGCUAAUGUUACUUCUACACUAAUCUUGCCUUUUUUUGUUGAGGGGAAGUGGGAGAGGAGAGGCCGAGAGGAGGAGAAAUACUCGAAGUGCUACAGCAGUAGUUUUCAGACUUCGCCUCCCGGGUCAGGGUUGGGGCCUGAGAAUCUGCAUUUCGCACAGAGUCCCAGGCGGCACCCCUCUGAGGACUCCUCCACUCUGUCAAAAGGCCUAGAAGACCGCUGGGCAGCUAUAGGAGGUGGGGCCAGGGCUUCCUUGCCUGAGGGGGGGGCAGGGGGAGCACGGAAAGUUCUUACUGUCCCAGCAGACCCGUUUCUUGAAGGAAGGGACAGGCUCCCAGGACCCCAGGGAUCAGCCUGGUUGGCCCCAGACCCAGAAUGUAUGGGGGUGAAGGCCUAGUCAAAGGCUCCCCCCACCCCACCCCCCUCAGAGAGGGGACUGAGGCUGGAAAGGCGGGGAAGGGCUGGGUUUCCCCAGAUCAAAGCUGGUUCCCCAGCCUUUGAUUCGCAAACAAGCAGACUCUUUAGAGGCUGGCCCGGAGUUUGGGGCAGGCUGGCCUUGGGGCCUGGGGUGAGUGGUCAGAGGCCCCCAGCCCGCUCUCUUUUUGCAUAACAGCUUGGCUGUCUAACAAAAGGACAGUCCUUGAAAGGCCGUAUGGGGCUGUUAAAAGCUUCCGGCAAUGGUUUAAUUGGGGGCGAUUAAAGUGUCCACCCCAGGAAGGCCUGCCCUUCAAAGGCCAACCAGGCCUGGCUCCCCUGCCCUCAGCACCUCUCCCCUCGGCCACGCCCCCGGUGGUAGCCCUGCCCCCAGCCUCUCCCCUCCGCCCCCUCAGCUACCCUGUGGCUCCCUGCCGACUGAGGAAGUCAGGGACAGGGACCCUUUGGCCAGCCUGUCUGGGGGGAUUCCGUCCUGGCCCCUGGACCAUCAGGACCAUUUGUUCGCACAGUUUGGUCUCGUGGCUGAGUCAGUGUGGGAGGUGGGGAAGGCUGAGUCGGAGACAGAAAGGGCCCCAGACUGGUCCACCCGGCUCACUCUGGCUGCCUCAGGACACCUAGCCUGCCUGGUCUCUGGCCCCUCCUUGAGCUCCCUUACCAGCCCCUCUCCCCAAGGCCCUGGCCCAUCUGCAACUUCAUGGUCACCGUUGGGGGACCCACACAUUAAUCUUCCAGACAUGAUCUGAGAGGUGCUGGGGACUCAGAGGUGACCAGACAGGAACCAUGACUCAUGAAGGUGCCGGAUAAGUGAACAGGCAGAAGCAACAGGGCGCGAUAUAGGUAAAAUGAGGUGAGCUAUAAGCAGGGCCCCUGCCUCUGGUGGGGCUCAGGGAGCAGAGGGGCAGGCAACAUGACCUUCUGGAAGCAACAGAGCCUACAGUGAGAACAGGGCCACUCAGUCUGGCCCAUUUGCCAACCAUGAUGGGAAGAGCUACACCACAGCUGGUUUCACUAAAAGACCUGACCCACCCAACCAGUUGGAGGAUCCUUGGAAGGGGAAGUGGGUAGAGGUUCCAUCAAGUCUCGAAAUCAUUGUUCUGUGGGUAUCUGGCUCAGACAACUCCCCAGAG